rnacentral:rRNA from 1 species
UACGUAGGGAGCAAGCGUUGUCCGGAAUUACUGGGCGUAAAGCGUGCGCAGGCGGUUCGUUAAGUUCGUUGUGAAAGCCCCGGGCUCAACCUGGGAACUGCAAUGGAAACUGGCGGGCUUGAGUGUGGCAGAGGGGGGUGGAAUUCCGCGUGUAGCAGUGAAAUGCGUAGAGAUGCGGAGGAACACCGAUGGCGAAGGCAGCCCCCUGGGCCAACACUGACGCUCAGGCACGAAAGCGUGGGGAGCAAACAGG